rnacentral:rRNA from 1 species
GACGUAGGGACGAGCGUUGUCCGGAUUCAUUGGGCGUAAAGCGCGCGUAGGCGGUUCGGUAAGUCGGGUGUGAAAACACGAGGCUCAACCUCGUGCGUGCAUCCGAUACUGCCGGACUAGAGGUAGGUAGGGGAGAUCGGAAUUCCUGGUGUAGCGGUGAAAUGCGCAGAUAUCAGGAGGAACACCGGUGGCGAAGGCGGGACUCUGGGCCGAUACUGACGCUGAGGAGCGAAAGCGUGGGGGAGCAAACAGG